UACGAAGGGGGCUAGCGUUGCUCGGAAUCACUGGGCGUAAAGCGCACGUAGGCGGAUUGUUAAGUCAGGGGUGAAAUCCUGGAGCUCAACUCCAGAACUGCCUUUGAUACUGGCGAUCUUGAGUCCGGGAGAGGUGAGUGGAACUGCGAGUGUAGAGGUGAAAUUCGUAGAUAUUCGCAAAGAACACCAGUGGCGAAGGCGGCUCACUGGCCCGGUACUGACGCUGAGGUGCGAAAGCG
rnacentral:rRNA from 1 species